UUUAUUGAGAGUUUGAUCCUGGCUCAGGACGAACGCUGGCGGCGUGCCUAACGCAUGCAAGUCGAAUGCCGAUUUAUCGGCAUGGCGAACGGGUGAGUAACGCGUAGAAAUCUACCCCAAAGUCUCGCAUAACCCUUCGAAAGUUGGGAUAAUACGAGAUAGUCUGCGCUUUGCGCAGUAAAGAUUUAUCGCUUUGGGAUGAGUCUGCGUCCUAUCAGCUUGUUGGCGGGGUAAGAGCCCACCAAGGCAAUGACGGGUAGCUGGUCUGAGAGGAUGAUCAGCCACAAUGGAACUGAGACACGGUCCAUACUCCUACGGGAGGCAGCAGCUGGGAAUAUUCCGCAAUGGACGAAAGUCUGACGGAGCGACGCCGCGUGCAGGAUGAAGCUUUUCGGAGUGUAAACUGCUUUUCUAGAGGACGAAUAUGACGGUACUUUAGGAAUAAGGACCUGCUAACUACGUGCCAGCAGCAGCGGUAAUACGUAGGGUCCGAGCGUUGUCCGGAAUUAUUGGGCGUAAAGAGCUCGUAGGCGGUUAAAUAAGUCUUGUGUUAAAUCCUUAGGCUCAACCUAAGACCUGCAUAAGAUACUGUUUGACUUUGAGUCAGUCAGGGGCAAGUGGAAUUCCUGGUGUAGCAGUGAAAUGCGUUGAUAUCAGGAGGAACACCAAUGGCGAAGGCAACUUGCUAGGACUGUACUGACGCUGAGGAGCGAAAGCGUGGGUAGCGAACGGGAUUAGAUACCCCGGUAGUCCACGCCGUAAACGAUGCAAACUAGGCAUUGGGAGUUUCGACCCUCCUUGUGCCGAAGCUAACGCGUUAAGUUUGCCGCCUGGGAAGUACGGCCGCAAGGCUAAAACUCAAAGGAAUUGGCGGGGACUCGCACAAGCGGUGGAACAUGAGGUUUAAUUCGACAACAAGCGAAGAACCUUACCAAGGCUUGACAUCUCUGGAACCCUGAUGAGAAUUAGGGGUGCCCGCAAGGGAGCCAGAUGACAGGUGCUGCACGGCUGUCGUCAGCUCGUGUCGUGAGAUUUUCGGUUAAGUCCGAUAACGAGCGCAACCCUCGUCCUAAGUUACUUAUGUCUUGGGAGACUGCCUGGGUUAACCGGGAGGAAGGUGGGGAUGACGUCAAGUCAGCGUGGCUCUUACGCCUUGGGCGACACUCAUGUUACAAUGGUGGUUACAAAAGGUUGCAAAACCGUGAGGUUGAGCUAAUCCUUUAAAAGCCAUCUCAGUUCGGAUUGAAGGCUGCAACUCGCCUUCAUGAAGCCGGAAUCGCUAGUAACCGUAGGUCAGCCACACUACGGUGAAUACGUUCUCGAGUCUUGCACACACCGCCCGUCAAGCGAGCCGAGUCAGCAGGACCCGAAUCCCGACUUUGUUGGGAGAAGGUUAGGUUGGUAAGGAGCGCUAAGUCGUAACAAGGUAUCCGUAGGGGAAUCUGCGGAUGGAUCACCUCCUUUCUAGGGAG
rnacentral:rRNA from 1 species